rfam:Arabis alpina cultivar Pajares chromosome 8, whole genome shotgun sequence.
UUGUUUGUAGGUGCAGCAACAUCAAGAUUCACAUGAAAACUGAAAGAUCUCCUAAUUUUAUAUUAAUUAGGGUUUUGAUAUGUAUAUAUGAGAAUCUUGAUGAUGCUGCAUCAACAACCGA